CAAUAGCGUAUAUUAAAGUUGUUGCGGUUAAAAAGCUCGUAGUUGGAUUUCUGCUGAGAACGACCGGUCCGCCCUCUGGGUGUGUAUCUGGCUCUUUCUUGGCAUCUUCUUGGUGAACGUUGCUGCACUUGACUGUGUGGAGCGCUACCCAGGACUUUUACUUUGAGGAAAUUAGAGUGUUUCAAGCAGGCAUACGCCUUGAAUACAUUAGCAUGGAAUAAUAAGAUAGGACCUCGGUUCUAUUUUGUUGGUUUCUAGAGCUGAGGUAAUGAUUAAUAGGGAUAGUUGGGGGCAUUCGUACUUAACUGUCAGAGGUGAAAUUCUUGGAUUUGUUAAAGACGAACUACUGCGAAAGCAUUUGCCAAGGAUGUUUUCAUUGA
rnacentral:rRNA from 1 species